GGGUUGUGAGGUUAAGCGACUAAGCGUACACGGUGGAUGCCCUGGCAGUCAGAGGCGAUGAAGGACGUGCUAAUCUGCGAAAAGCGUCGGUAAGGUGAUAUGAACCGUUACAGCCGGCGAUGUCCGAAUGGGGAAACCCAGUGCAAUUCGUUGCACUAUCGUUAACUGAAUACAUAGGUUAACGAGGCGAACCGGGGGAACUGAAACAUCUAAGUACCCCGAGGAAAAGAAAUCAACCGAGAUUCCCCCAGUAGCGGCGAGCGAACGGGGAGCAGCCCAGAGUCUGAAUCAGCUUGUGUGUUAGUGGAACGGUCUGGAAAGUCCGACGGUACAGGGUGAUAGUCCCGUACACCAAAAUGCACAGGUUGUGAACUCGAAGAGUAGGGCGGGACACGUGGUAUCCUGUCUGAAUAUGGGGGGACCAUCCUCCAAGGCUAAAUACUCCUGACUGACCGAUAGUGAACCAGUACCGUGAGGGAAAGGCGAAAAGAACCCCGGCGAGGGGAGUGAAAAAGAACCUGAAACCGUGUACGUACAAGCAGUGGGAGCACCUUCGGGUGUGACUGCGUACCUUUUGUAUAAUGGGUCAGCGACUUAUAUUCUGUAGCAAGGUUAACCGUAUAGGGGAGCCGCAGGGAAACCGAGUCUUAACUGGGCGUUAAGUUGCAGGGUAUAGACCCGAAACCCGGUGAUCUAGCCAUGGGCAGGUUGAAGGUUGGGUAACACUAACUGGAGGACCGAACCGACUAAUGUUGAAAAAUUAGCGGAUGACUUGUGGCUGGGGGUGAAAGGCCAAUCAAACCGGGAGAUAGCUGGUUCUCCCCGAAAGCUAUUUAGGUAGCGCCUCGUGAAUUCAUCUUCGGGGGUAGAGCACUGUUUCGGCUAGGGGGUCAUCCCGACUUACCAACCCGAUGCAAACUACGAAUACCGAAGAAUGUUAUCACGGGAGACACACGGCGGGUGCUAACGUCCGUCGUGAAGAGGGAAACAACCCAGACCGCCAGCUAAGGUCCCAAAGUCAUGGUUAAGUGGGAAACGAUGUGGGAAGGCACAGACAGCCAGGAUGUUGGCUUAGAAGCAGCCAUCAUUUAAAGAAAGCGUAAUAGCUCACUGGUCGAGUCGGCCUGCGCGGAAGAUGUAACGGGGCUAAACCAUGCACCGAAGCUGCGGCAGCGACGCUCAGGCGUUGUUGGGUAGGGGAGCGUUCUGUAAGCCUGCGAAGGUGACCUGUGAGGGUUGCUGGAGGUAUCAGAAGUGCGAAUGCUGACAUAAGUAACGAUAAAGCGGGUGAAAAGCCCGCUCGCCGGAAGACCAAGGGUUCCUGUCCAACGUUAAUCGGGGCAGGGUGAGUCGACCCCUAAGGCGAGGCCGAAAGGCGUAGUCGAUGGGAAACAGGUUAAUAUUCCUGUACUUGGUGUUACUGCGAAGGGGGGACGGAGAAGGCUAUGUUAGCCGGGCGACGGUUGUCCCGGUUUAAGCAUGUAGGCUGGUUAUCCAGGCAAAUCCGGAUAAUCAAGGCUGAGGUGUGAUGACGAGGCACUACGGUGCUGAAGUAACAAAUGCCCUGCUUCCAGGAAAAGCCUCUAAGCAUCAGGUAACAUCAAAUCGUACCCCAAACCGACACAGGUGGUCAGGUAGAGAAUACCAAGGCGCUUGAGAGAACUCGGGUGAAGGAACUAGGCAAAAUGGUGCCGUAACUUCGGGAGAAGGCACGCUGGUGUGUAGGUGAAGUCCCUGCGGAUGGAGCUGAGACCAGUCGAAGAUACCAGCUGGCUGCAACUGUUUAUUAAAAACACAGCACUGUGCAAACACGAAAGUGGACGUAUACGGUGUGACGCCUGCCCGGUGCCGGAAGGUUAAUUGAUGGGGUUAUCCGUAAGGAGAAGCUCUUGAUCGAAGCCCCGGUAAACGGCGGCCGUAACUAUAACGGUCCUAAGGUAGCGAAAUUCCUUGUCGGGUAAGUUCCGACCUGCACGAAUGGCGUAAUGAUGGCCAGGCUGUCUCCACCCGAGACUCAGUGAAAUUGAACUCGCUGUGAAGAUGCAGUGUACCCGCGGCAAGACGGAAAGACCCCGUGAACCUUUACUAUAGCUUGACACUGAACAUUGAGCCUUGAUGUGUAGGAUAGGUGGGAGGCUUUGAAGCGUGGACGCCAGUCUGCGUGGAGCCAACCUUGAAAUACCACCCUUUAAUGUUUGAUGUUCUAACGUGGGCCCCUAAUCGGGGUUGCGGACAGUGUCUGGUGGGUAGUUUGACUGGGGCGGUCUCCUCCCAAAGCGUAACGGAGGAGCACGAAGGUUAGCUAAUCCUGGUCGGACAUCAGGAGGUUAGUGCAAUGGCAUAAGCUAGCUUGACUGCGAGCGUGACGGCGCGAGCAGGUGCGAAAGCAGGUCAUAGUGAUCCGGUGGUUCUGAAUGGAAGGGCCAUCGCUCAACGGAUAAAAGGUACUCCGGGGAUAACAGGCUGAUACCGCCCAAGAGUUCAUAUCGACGGCGGUGUUUGGCACCUCGAUGUCGGCUCAUCACAUCCUGGGGCUGAAGUAGGUCCCAAGGGUAUGGCUGUUCGCCAUUUAAAGUGGUACGCGAGCUGGGUUUAGAACGUCGUGAGACAGUUCGGUCCCUAUCUGCCGUGGGCGCUGGAGAAUUGAGGGGGGCUGCUCCUAGUACGAGAGGACCGGAGUGGACGCAUCACUGGUGUUCGGGUUGUCAUGCCAAUGGCACUGCCCGGUAGCUAAAUGCGGAAGAGAUAAGUGCUGAAAGCAUCUAAGCACGAAACUUGCCCCGAGAUGAGUUCUCCCUGAGACUUUAAGUCUCCUGAAGGAACGUUGAAGACGACGACGUUGAUAGGCCGGGUGUGUAAGCGCAGCGAUGCGUUGAGCUAACCGGUACUAAUGAACCGUGAGGCUUAACCUUACAACGCCGAAG
rnacentral:rRNA from 1 species